UACGGAGGGUGCAAGCGUUAUCCGGAUUCACUGGGUUUAAAGGGUGCGUAGGAGGGCAGGUAAGUCAGUGGUGAAAUCCCCGAGCUUAACUUGGGAGCUGCCGUUGAUACUAUCUGUCUUGAAUAUUGUGGAGGUGAGCGGAAUAUGUCAUGUAGCGGUGAAAUGCUUAGAUAUGACAUAGAACACCAAUUGCGAAGGCAGCUCGCUACACAUAUAUUGACUCUGAGGCACGAAAGCGUGGGGAUCAAACAGG
rnacentral:rRNA from 1 species